AGAAAAUAGGAAAACUCUGAGUGAGGAGACGCCUCUCUGCAGUGUCGGAAGUGAAAAACCCUUAUCAAUAUCUGACGGAAUAAAGGUCAAUGCUGAACAUACACGAUAACCGGUGGUCUAUGCAAUGUGCCCCGUGUUCCUCCAGGCAAAUAAUUUUAUCAUCUCUUCAUCGAAAGAUGAAUGGAUAAAGAAGCUGUGGUCUAUGUAUACAAUGGAAUAUUCCUCAGCCAUUAGAAACGACAAAUACCCACCAUUUGCUUCAACGUGGAUGGAACUGGAGGGUAUUAUGCUGAGUGAAGUAAGUCAAUCGGAGAAGGACAAACAUUAUAUGUUCUCAUUCAUUUGGGGAAUAUAAAUAAUAGUGAGAGGGAAUAUAAGGGAAGGGAGAAGAAAUGUGUGGGAAAUAUCAGAAAGGGAGACAGAACAUAAAGACUCCUAACUCUGGGAAAUGAACUAGGGGUGGUGGGAGGGGAGGAGGGCAGGGGGUGGGGGUGAAUGGGUGACGGGCACUGAGGGGGACACUUGACGGGAUGAGCACUGGGUGUUAUUCUGUAUGUUGGUAAAUUGAACACCAAUAAAAAAUUAAUUUAUUAAAAAAAUAAAAAAUAAAACUUCUAAAAGUUUUCAAAAACAAAAAAACAAAAAAACAAAAAAACAAGCAAACAAACAAAAAAUUUUAUCAUCUCCUGCUGAGUAACAGCUCUCCUGGGUAUAUGUGAACCGGGGGAGAAACUUUCCCACAGCAGAAUAUUAUUUAGAGCUUUCAUAAACUGGAGAUCUUUAAUUAUAUGGACAGCAGAAUUGGACAGACACAACUUUUCUACCUUUGCUUCUGAAUAACCACUCACCCACCCACCUGGUCAUGUGGAGUGGGUACUUUGAUUCAGGCUUCUUGAUUUCCUACUGUCCUGGACUUCAGUGAGCAGGCCGAUUGUAGUUCUCUCUGUGGUCCCCCAUGGCUUUACAUGAUAUGCUCAGUCUUGGAAAAUGGCAACAAACAAACAAAACCAAAAAAUCCCAAAUAUUUCUAAUCCUUUCCAGUGGAGUUGCUACCUCUGUUCCACCCAUGCUUCUCCUGGGGGUUCAAGCUGCCUUCUGCUGCUUUUAGGAAUUGAUGGACCUUGUAGCCACUGCACAGCCAGCUCUCCACCCCAUGGCUCCAUGUCCACAGAUUCAGAAGGUGCUGGGAGGAAAGGGAGAAAUCAAAUCAUUUUGGACAGGAGACUGCAAAAAUACCCUUUGCUCAACCCUGUCUAUUUAUUGCCAGUGUCAACAGUCAAAGCUAGUGACAGAAGACUUUUUGACCUUGUCACUAUUUGA
rnacentral:lncRNA from 12 species